GAACCAAAACAGCUGAAUCAGCAGGUUCAGUCUUAGUAGCCGAAGGGCCAACUGCUCCAGAAGUGCUUGACAAGAAAGCUUUAAACUCAACUUCCCAUGAAGGCUGCACACAAAUAUCAGUUUAAGCAAAAGGAAAUCACAAAAGAAUAUAGCAAGAAGGUUUUGUUUUAACCUGCCAAGAGGAGACUUCGGCCAUGUCUUCGAGUUCGUUGCUCGAACCUAAAGAACUUAAUGGCCGAGCCCAGUGUCUUAGACUGCUUCUCAGUUCACGUGGCCGAUGGAGGUGAUCUACAUUCAAUGGCCAUUGAGGCGGCCAGGAAAUAUAGAUAACACCUUUCGACGUGUAGAAUUUUCGAUGAAAAGAAUGGGUAGGCACCUGACAUUUAGUAUCUUCCUGGUUUAGAGUUCUAAGGAAGAAAGGAAAGAGAAGUGGUAGGGGUACUUACGAAGGUCGAAGUCACUUCUUGAGAAGGGAUGCCGAGGUCUUGGUCCUGAGGGUGAAUUGGAGUUUCUGACGUCGCUUCAGGCUCGACAAGAGGCCUCUUUUCGGGAUCGACCACUGGAGGAUCAACCCAAUCAGUUACCUCAACCACAGGGGGAAGAUCAACGAUAGGAGCUUGGGUUGGUCGAGAUCGACUCGCCAGCGAAGUCUCAUCAUUCUCAUCAUCCUGAAACAAAAGUGUUAAUAAUUAUUGGUUACUUAAUAAGUGAAAGGAUUUGACGACAUAAUCGUACCUCUUCUACAAUAACUGCCGAAUGUCAUGGGUUCUUGGAGAGAUCCUUCCCAAUCGAAGGAGUCGUCUCCCCUAGAACAGGAACUCAU
rnacentral:lncRNA from 1 species